rnacentral:rRNA from 1 species
UACGUAGGGUCCGAGCGUUGUCCGGAAUUACUGGGCGUAAAGAGCUCGUAGGCGGCUUGUCGCGUCGGUUGUGAAAGCCCGGGGCUUAACUCCGGGUCUGCAUUCGAUACGGGCAGGCUAGAGUGUGGUAGGGGAGAUCGGAAUUCCUGGUGUAGCGGUGAAAUGCGCAGAUAUCAGGAGGAACACCGGUGGCGAAGGCGGAUCUCUGGGCCAUUACUGACGCUGAGGAGCGAAAGCGUGGGGAGCGAACAGG